rnacentral:misc_RNA from 1 species
GUCAGAGAAAUUUCUUCUUCUUCUCUGUGCUUCAAUUCCAAGCAGCUACACUCUUUAAAGGUUAAUAGAGUCACCCCAAUUUGUAAAGCCAGCAGCCUCAGUUUCCAUAAAAAAUCCACUGCCCCAUCAUGGAAUCUUGGUCUUUUUGAAUCCACAAACAGCUGUGAUAAUUCAGUAUUUGAUCCAUUGGGUACCAAUUCAGGUAAAUCAUCCUGGGAUAAUUUAGUGAGCUUGCUCUCUCAGACAUUUGAAAGCUCCUCAAACACUAGAAAAGAGAAAAAUUCAUCAGCUAGAGGGUUGGCAGCUGCAAUUGAAGAUACUAGCAUUGAUUUUGGAGACUUCUUCAAAGGCCCGUUACCGGGAAAGUUUCUAAAGCUAUUAGGCUUUUUGGCUUUGUCACGACUCGGGAUCUAUAUACCGCUCGGUGGAGUAAAUCGGGAGGCCUUUGUUGGCAAUUUAGAUGAGAAUAGUAUUUUAAGUACUUUGGAUUCCUUUUCCGGUGGAGGUAUAGGUCGCCUUGGAAUAUGCUCCCUAGGUAUUGUUCCCUUCAUUAAUGCACAAAUUGUGUUUCAACUUCUUGCUCAAAUCUACCCCAAGUUGCAAGAACUUCAGAAAAGAGAAGGUGAAG